rnacentral:rRNA from 1 species
GACGCAGCGACGCCGCGUGCGGGAAGAAGGCCUUCGGGUGUAAACCGCUUCAGGAGGGACGAAGCCACUCGGGUUAAUAGCCUAGAGGGUGACGGUACCUCCAGAAGAAGCCCCGGCUAACUACGUGCCAGCAGCCGCGGUAAGUACGGGGGGGCAAGCGUUGUCGGAAUUACUGGGCGUAAAGGGCUCGUAGGCUGCCAACUAAGUCAGACGUGAAAUCCCCAGGCUCAACCUGGGAACUGCGUCUGAUACUGGAUGGCUUGAAUUCGGGAGAGGGAUGCAGAAUUCCAGGUGUAGCGGUGAAAUGCGUAGAUAUCUGGAGGAAUACCGGUGGCGAAGGCGGCAUCCUGGACCGACAUUGACGCUGAGGAGCGAAAGCUAGGGGAGCAAACGGGAUUAGAUACCCCGGUAGUCCUAGCCCUAAACGAUGAAUGCUUGGUGUAACGGGUAUCGAUCCCUGUUGUGCCGAAGCUAACGCAUUAAGCAUUCCGCCUGGGGAGUACGGUCGCAAGGCUG